AGAUUUCCACAAUUGAAGAAAUCAAGCGUCUCAAGCUUUGUGAAGGAGGCUAAUGGAAAGGACGUGAGAGAAUCACAACAACUAGUUAUGUCGAAUUUGGUAAGGGAAGCGUAGUGGUUGUGCGUCAUAUCCUCGUGGAGUGCUAACUCCAAUUUCUUACACUCGCAGAUUACAAGUCUCUUCAAUGAAUCAAUGUCCCUGGGCAAGGACCUCAGAGAACCACAAUGCCAAAUUUCCAAGCAUUGCAGAGUCGUAUUAUUUUGCAUCAUUCCC
rnacentral:lncRNA from 1 species